GGCACAAAUGAUGAUUAUUUUGGGACUUAAUACUGAGGAACCCAUGAUGAAGCCUUCAGCUGAUGUGC